rnacentral:rRNA from 1 species
UGGGGAAUAUUGCACAAUGGUCGCAAGCCUGAUGCAGCCAUGCCGCGUGUAUGAAGAAGGCCUUCGGGUUGUAAAGUACUUUCAGUCGGGAGGAAGGCUUCAAGGUUAAUAACCUUGGCAAUUGACGUUACCGACAGAAGAAGCACCGGCUAACUCCGUGCCAGCAGCCGCGGUAAUACGGAGGGUGCAAGCGUUAAUCGGAAUUACUGGGCGUAAAGCGCACGCAGGCGGUCGAUUGAGUCAGAUGUUAAAUCCCCGGGCUUAACCCGGGAAAUGCAUCUGAUACUGGUCAGCUAGAGUCUUGUAGAGGGGUGUAGGAUUCCAUGUGUAGCGGUGAAAUGCGUAGAGAUCUGGAGGAAUACCGGUGGCGAAGGCGGCCCCCUGGACAAAGACUGACGCUCAGGUGCGAAAGCGUGGGGAGCAAACAGG